AGAGUUUGAUCAUGGCUCAGAUUGAACGCUGGCGGCGUGCCUAACACAUGCAAGUCGAGCGGUAACAGGUGUAGCAAUACAUGCUGACGAGCGGCGAACGGGUGAGUAAUGCUUCGGAAUCUGCCCAAUGGUGGGGAAUAACCAGCCGAAAGGUUGGCUAAUACCGCAUAAGUCCUACGGGAGAAAGCAGGGGAUCGUAAGACCUUGCGCCGAUGGAUGAGCCGAAGUCGGAUUAGCUAGUUGGUAGGGUAACGGCCUACCAAGGCGACGAUCCGUAGCUGGUCUGAGAGGACGACCAGCCACACUGGGACUGAGACACGGCCCAGACUCCUACGGGAGGCAGCAGUGGGGAAUAUUGGACAAUGGGGGAAACCCUGAUCCAGCGACGCCGCGUGUGUGAAGAAGGCCUGCGGGUUGUAAAGCACUUUUAGUGGGGAUGAAAAGCUCAGGGAUAACACCUCUGGGUCUUGACCUAACCCACAGAAAAAGCACCGGCUAACUCUGUGCCAGCAGCCGCGGUAACACAGAGGGUGCAAGCGUUAAUCGGAAUUACUGGGCGUAAAGCGUGCGUAGACGGUUAUGUAAGUCGGGUGUGAAAGCCCCGGGCUCAACCUGGGAAUGCCAUUCGAGACUGCAUAGCUAGGGUGCGGAAGAGGGAAGCGGAAUUUCCGGUGUAGCGGUGAAAUGCGUAGAUAUCGGAAGGAACACCAGUGGCGAAAGCGGCUUCCUGGUCCAGCACCGACGUUCAGGCACGAAAGCGUGGGGAGCAAACAGGAUUAGAUACCCUAGUAGUCC
rnacentral:rRNA from 1 species